rnacentral:rRNA from 1 species
CUACGGGUUGCUCCAGUGGGGAAUAUUGCACAAUGGGGGAAACCCUGAUGCAGCAACGCCGCGUGGAGGAUGACACAUUUCGGUGCGUAAACUCCUUUUAUAUAAGAAGAUAAUGACGGUAUUAUAUGAAUAAGCUCCGGCUAACUCCGUGCCAGCAGCCGCGGUAAUACGGGGGGAGCAAGCGUUACUCGGAAUCACUGGGCGUAAAGAGCAUGUAGGCGGGUAAAAAAGUUGGAAGUGAAAUCCACUGGCUUAACCAGUGAACUGCUUCCAAAACUCUUUACCUAGAAUAUGGGAGAGGUAGAUGGAAUUUCUGGUGUAGGGGUAAAAUCCGUAGAGAUCAGAAGGAAUACCGAGUGCGAAGGCGAUCUACUGGAACAUUAUUGACGCUGAGAUGCGAAAGCGUGGGGAGCAAACAGGAUUAGAUACCCUAGUAGUC